rnacentral:lncRNA from 1 species
AAAAAAGUCCUUUGCCUAAAGAACAUACAUGCUUCUUCUUGAAUUCUUGCAGACAAACUGUUUGUUAGAACUUUGAUGAGUUGGGAAUGUAUUACAGCAGCUGUCACUGGGUUAACCAUGUGAUUGCUCCUACAGAUGUAGUUGCUUGUCUGAGUGCAUUUCCCGGGAGAGGGGAGUAGGCAAGCCGGAAGGUAGGAAAGCUGUCCAGGCUACUUCUUGUCUGAGCUCCACUGCUUUCCGGCCUUGAGAUAGGAGCUUGCCCAGGGUACUUGGCCUAUUUGGUUAAGUUGUCAGUGUUUGUUGGUGAAUUUUCAUUAAAAUGAAGAGAGGCUGUUGAAGAAAUCAUGGCAUACCGAUGCAGCAAGAAGGUGUCGUCUAUGAGGAAUGGGCCCUUAAGAAACCUAGAACCUGAUGGCACGUUUAUCUUCGACUUCCCGGUCGUCAGAACUCAGAAGAUUAUUGAAACAAUGUAGCAGGAAAGGAACCUUAUGGUGCCAGGUCUGCCUUUCAUUCCGCAGG